rnacentral:lncRNA from 1 species
CGGCAUUGUAUAAGGAGCAAAUGAAGAAAUGGCAUGAUGCUCAGAUAGUGUAGCGAUAAUUCAAUGUUAGAGAGAAUUUACUCCUCUACAACUCACAUUUGAAACUCUUGGUAGGGAAGCUCAACUCAAAAUGGUCGAGACUAUUCAUGAUAUCUAAAGUCUACCCAAGUGGUGUAGUUGAGUUACAAGAUAAUUAAGGGAAGAAAUUCAUAGUCAAUGGCCAAAGUGUAAAGUGAUACAAUGAUAAAUUCUCCAUGAUAGCCAAAGUUG